UGUUCCGUGGCUUAGUUGGUUAAAGAACCGGUCUAGCGAAUACGGAGACGUGGGUUCGAAUCCCACCAGAACGC
rnacentral:tRNA from 1 species